GCAACGCGAAGAACCUUACCAGGUCUUGACAUCCUCUGACAACCCUAGAGAUAGGGCUUCUCCUUCGGGAGCAGAGUGACAGGUGGUGCAUGGUUGUCGUCAGCUCGUGUCGUGAGAUGUUGGGUUAAGUCCCGCAACGAGCGCAACCCUUGAUCUUAGUUGCCAUCAUUUAGUUGGGCACUCUAAGGUGACUGCCGGUGACAAACCGGAGGAAGGUGGGGAUGACGUCAAAUCAUCAUGCCCCUUAUGACCUGGGCUACACACGUGCUACAAUGGACGGUACAAAGAGCUGCAAGACCGCGAGGUGGAGCUAAUCUCAUAAAACCGUUCUCAGUUCGGAUUGUAGGCUGCAACUCGCCUACAUGAAGCUGGAAUCGCUAGUAAUCGCGGAUCAGCAUGCCGCGGUGAAUAC
rnacentral:rRNA from 1 species